UUCAGCAGUUUGCAGAACUGAGCCCUUUAUUCACAGAACACGUCUAGCCUGGGCAACAGCAGAGCAAGCUUUCCCCAUGCUGCCCUACCAACCGGCCAGAACAGUCUGUCUUUACAGGAGAAGGAUUAUUUCAUUCUCCAACCUCUGUCAGUCUUUAGUUUUU
ensembl:misc_RNA